AGCGAACGCUGGCGGCAGGCUUAACACAUGCAAGUCGAGCGGGCGUAGCAAUACGUCAGCGGCAGACGGGUGAGUAACGCGUGGGAACAUACCUUUUGGUUCGGAACAACACAGGGAAACUUGUGCUAAUACCGGAUAAGCCCUUACGGGGAAAGAUUUAUCGCCGAAAGAUUGGCCCGCGUCUGAUUAGCUAGUUGGUGAGGUAAUGGCUCACCAAGGCGACGAUCAGUAGCUGGUCUGAGAGGAUGAUCAGCCACAUUGGGACUGAGACACGGCCCAAACUCCUACGGGAGGCAGCAGUGGGGAAUAUUGGACAAUGGGCGCAAGCCUGAUCCAGCCAUGCCGCGUGAGUGAUGAAGGCCCUAGGGUUGUAAAGCUCUUUUGUGCGGGAAGAUAAUGACG
rnacentral:rRNA from 1 species